rnacentral:rRNA from 1 species
UAGGGAAUCUUCGGCAAUGGACGGAAGUCUGACCGAGCAACGCCGCGUGAGUGAAGAAGGUUUUCGGAUCGUAAAGCUCUGUUGUUAGAGAAGAACGUCGGCAGGAGUGGAAAAUCUACCAAGUGACGGUAACUAACCAGAAAGGGACGGCUAACCACGUGCCAGCAGCCGCGGUGAUACGUAGGUUCCGAGCGUUGUCCGGACUUAUUGGGCGUAAAGCGAGCGCAGGCGGUUCUUUAAGUCUGAAGUUAAAGGCAGUGGUUUAACCAUUGUACGCUUUGGAAACUGGAGGACUUGAGUGCAGCAGGGGAGAGUGGGAUUCCAUGUGUAGCGGUGAAAUGCGUAGCUAAAUGGAAGAACACCGGUGGCGCAAGCUGCUCUCUGGUCUAUAACUGACGCUGAGGCUCGAAAGCGUGGGGAGCAAACAGG